rnacentral:sRNA from 1 species
GCAGCGAAGCUUAGAGCACACAGGGGUGUGGAGUCAGCCAGACGGGCCCUGAUGGGAGGACGCAGCGCCCAGGCUGGGCUCGGGACGAGGAUCACGCCGAUGAUGGAGCUGAAGCCCAACGCAGGUAGCGACCGUGCCUGGGUCUGGAACACCCACGCUGACUUCGCCGAUGAGUGCCCCAAACCAGAGCUGCUGGCCAUCCGCUUCCUGAAUGCUGAGAAUGCACAGAAAUUCAAAACAAAGUUUGAAGAAUGCAGGAAAGAGAUCGAAGAGAGAGAAAAGAAAGCAGGAUCAGGCAAAAACGAUCAUGCUGAAAAAGUGGCGGAAAAGCUAGAAGCUCUCUCGGUGAAGGAGGAGACCAAGGAGGAUGCUGAGGAGAAGCAAUAAAUCGUCUUAUUUUAUUUUCUUUUCCUCUCUUUCCUUUCCUUUUUUUAAAAAAAUUUUACCCUGCCCCUCUUUUUCGGUUUGUUUUUAUUCUUUCAUUUUUACAAGGGACGUUAUAUAAAGAACUGAAUUCAACAUUCAGAUUGUUUUUUUUUUUGUUUCUAAGUUUUUGCCCUAUUGAAGAUGACUUCAGAAAAUCCAUUCCCCAGUCAUGAAAAUGUACUGUGCUAACUUUCUUUUCCAUAGUGGAAACACUUAUUUAUAGUCAUCAAAAAUAGUGAAUAAAAAACACAUUUGGAACCUG